rnacentral:rRNA from 1 species
UACGUAGGGUGCAAGCGUUGUCCGGAAUUAUUGGGCGUAAAGAGCUCGUAGGCGGUCUGUCGCGUCUGCUGUGAAAACUCGGGGCUUAACCCCGAGCCUGCUUCUGAUACGGGCAGACUAGAGGUAUGCAGGGGAGAACGGAACUCCUGGUGUAGCGGUGAAAUGCGCAGAUAUCAGGAGGAACACCGGUGGCGAAGGCGGUUCUCUGGGCAUUACCUGACGCUGAGGAGCGAAAGUGUGGGGAGCGAACAGG